AUUGACCUCAAAUCAGUAG
rnacentral:rRNA from 1 species